rnacentral:rRNA from 1 species
GUCGCAUGACGCAGGGGUCAAAACUCCGGUGCCGUGAGAUGGGCCCGCGUCCCAUUAGCUAGUUGGCAGGGUAAAGGCCUACCAAGGCGACGAUGGGUAGCCGGUCUGAGAGGGCGAACGGCCACAUUGGAACUGAGACACGGUCCAAACUCCUACGGGAGGCAGCAGUGGGGAAUAUUGCGCAAUGGGGGAAACCCUGACGCAGCAAUACCGCGUGAGCGAAAAAGGUUUUCGGAUCGUAAAGCUCUGUUAUCG